GGAAUCUUCGGCAAUGGGGGCAACCCUGACCGAGCAACGCCGCGUGAGUGAAGAAGGUUUUCGGAUCGUAAAGCUCUGUUGUAAGAGAAGAACGUGUGUGAGAGUGGAAAGUUCACACAGUGACGGUAACUUACCAGAAAGGGACAGCUAACUACGUGCCAA
rnacentral:rRNA from 1 species